AGACGACGCGGCCUCUCUCCCAAUCUCGCGCGCCACCUCAGCCACCGCCACCGCCACCGCCGCGGCGCCAUGGCCAGCGUCGCCUCCUCCACCGUGUUCGCCUCCUCCCUCCCCCACCACCGGGCGACGACGAGGGCGCCUCCAACGCCGCCGCGCAUCCCGCGCCGCGCCAGGCUCCCCGGCCGCUCGGUGGUGAGCUGCCUUCCGAAACGGGGGUCGGAGAAGCUUGUGGUCACUAGGGCAUCGGAUGAGGAGGGGCCGCCUGAGCCGGCGGGCCAGGGCCGGGGAGGGGGAAGAGCCUGGCCGUCGUUGGACGCGUCGUCGUGCGGGCUCGCGCUCGCGGCGGCGGCGGGGGUGCUCAUGCUGCAGGGGUCGCAGCAGGCUCUGGCCGGCACGGAGUUCAUGGGGAUGCAGGAUGUGGUGGGGGAUCUCGGUGACAUCAGUACAGGUUUCGCAUCAGCUUUUCUGUUGAUCUUCUUUUCUGAGCUAGGGGACAGAACAUUUUUCAUCGCGGCACUUCUAGCAGCUAGAAAUUCUGGAGCGAUCAUUUUUCUUGGCACAUUUGGAGCGCUUGCGGUAAUGACAAUUAUAUCUGUAGUUCUUGGACGAGCAUUUCACUAUGUUGAUGGCAUCAUUCCAUUUAGUUUUGGUGGCACAGAUUUCCCAGUUGAUGACUUUCUUGCUGCCUGUCUUUUGGUAUAUUAUGGAAUUACUACAUUGCUUGAUGCAGCUUCAGGCGAUGAAGAAAAGAUGAACGAGGAGCAAGAGGAGGCUGAGUUAGCAGUUUCAAAAUUUUUGGGAAAUGGUGCGGGGAUCAUAUCUGCUGCCAGUACUAUUGCUAGCACAUUUGUUUUGGUUUUUAUCGCCGAAUGGGGUGAUAAAUCAUUUUUCUCUACCAUCGCACUUGCUGCGGCUUCAUCUCCUCUGGGUGUCAUUGCAGGAUCACUUGCCGGUCACGCUGUUGCAACAUUGAUUGCAGUUCUUGGUGGCUCUUUGCUGGGGACGUUCUUGUCUGAAAAGAUUGUAGCAUACAUUGGAGGGAGCCUCUUUUUAGCAUUUGCUGCUGUGACACUAGUUGAGAUCGUGAAUUCGUGAAGGGGAGGAAGUUUCAAGAUUUGCCAACAAAUUACUGCACAGGUGUACAAUGAAUACAGAACUCGUGACAUAGGAACUUCAUUGUUCACAUGGAUGGAACACAAUUUGCCUGCAUCUGAUGAUAAGAUUACUUCACCAACAUUUUUCGCCGGGUAUUAAUUUACCAACAUGAUUGGUAAUCAAAUUCAGAACUCAGAACAUGUCAGAUAUUGAUAAUAGGUGGAAUGUGAGAUUACGUGAAAGCACUUUAAUUUUUUUCCCAGAACUUUUCAUUUUAACCUUUGCUCGUAUAAGUCAGAGCAUUGUAAAGUCAGAACACACUGAUUUGGACCACACCGAGGUAUAAUUUCAGAGUCUAAGGCCCUCCACAUA